GUGAAGAAAGGAACAAGGUGUUCAGCUAAUAACGUGGUUUGGGAAGGGAGUUUGAAAAGAGAAGAUAAAGAAAUACUCAUCUAGGAGAGUAGGAGUGUGGAUGGACUAGAAAAAAGAAAAAGAAAUUCUUGGUCCCCAACAUGGAAAUCCAAGAUGCAAGGAAAUCAUAGGCUCUGAAUCACCUGGGGAAGAAACCGCUGCAGACCAAAUUGCAUCUUAGAUCCAUUAAAUCAGAAACUUGGAUUGCUGGAUUCAGGUACAAGUAUUUUUAAAGCUCCCUAAGUGAUUAUAAUGUAUAGCCAAAGUUGAGAACUACUGCUUUGGAGCCACUGGUCUAAUGGAACAAAUUGCAUUGAUUUACUUCCCUUAAUAUUACUAUGUAUAACUAACUAAAUAAGAUGUAUUAUUUUAUGUUUCUUCUUAAUAUUGGCAUAAACCAAUAAAUUAGUGUAUGUAUGUUUCAUUGUUAGAA
rnacentral:lncRNA from 1 species